rnacentral:lncRNA from 1 species
AUAUCUGUGGAGUUAGUGACUGAUACUGUAGUGUCUAGGAUAUCUGUGGAGUUAGUGACUGAUACUGUAGUGUCUAGGAUAUCUGUGGAGUUAGUGACUGAUACUGUAGUGUCUAGGAUAUCUGUGGAGUUAGUGACUGAUACUGUAGUGUCUAGGAUGUAGUGUCUCGGAUAUCUGUGGAGGUAGUGACUGAUACUGUAGUGUCUAGGAUAUCUGUGGAGUUAGUGACUGAUACUGUAGUGUCUAGGAUAUCUGUGGAGUUAGUGACUGAUACUGUAGUGUCUAGGAUAUCUGUGGAGUUAGUGACUGAUACUGUAGUGUCUAGGAUGUAGUGUCUCGGAUAUCUGUGGAGUUAGUGACUGAUACUGUAGUGUCUAGGAUAUCUGUGGAGGUAGUGACUGAUACUGUAGUGUCUCGGAUAUCUGUGGAGUUAGUGACUGAUACUGUAGUGUCUAGGAUAUCUGUGGAGUUAGUGACUGAUACUGUAGUGUCUAGGAUGUAGUGUCUCGAAUAUUUUAUUUAUUUAUUUAUUUCACCUUUAUUUAACCAGGUAGGCAAGUUGAGAACAAGUUCUCAUUUACAAUUGCGACCUGGCCAAGAUAAAGCAAAGCAGUUCGACACCAUACAAAAACACAGAGUUACACAUGGAGUAAAACAACAUACAAUCAAUGAUGCAGUAGAAGAAAAACAUUUAUAAAAAAAUAUCUGUGGAGGUAGUGACAGAUACUGUAGUGUCUAGGAUAUCUGUGGAGUUAGUGACUGAUACUGUAGUGUCUAGGAUGUAGUGUCUCGGAUAUCUGUGGAGUUAGUGACUGAUACUGUAGUGUCUAGGAUAUCUGUGGAGUUAGUGACUGAUACUGUAGUGUCUAGGAUAUCUGUGGAG